GACAGAGGGUGCAAACGUUGCUCGGAAUUACUGGGCGUAAAGCGCGUGUAGGCGGACCUGCAAGUCGGACGUGAAAGCCCUGGGCUCAACCCAGGAACUGCAUCCGAAACUGCGGGCCUGGAGUGGUGGAGAGGGAAGCAGAAUUCCUGGUGUAGAGGUGAAAUUCGUAGAGAUGUGGAGGAACACCGAUGGCGAAGGCAGCCCCCUGGGUCAAGACUGACGCUCAUGCACGAAAGCGUGGGGAGCAAACAGG
rnacentral:rRNA from 1 species